UGGGGAUUUGUGUAAUGGCAGCACAGCAGACUCUGACUCUGUAUGUGGGAGUUCGAAUCUCUCAUCCCCAGCCA
rnacentral:tRNA from 1 species